rnacentral:rRNA from 1 species
CCCCAAAUAUAGCUAAGUGGGAAACGAAGUGGGAAGGCUAAAACAGUCAGGAGGUUGGCUUAGAAGCAGCCACCCUUUAAAGAAAGCGUAAUAGCUCACUGAUCGAGUCGUCCUGCGCGGAAGAUGUAACGGGGCUAAGCUAUAUACCGAAGCUGCGGAUGCGUGCUUUGCACGCAUGGUAGGAGAGCGUUCCGUAAGCCUGCGAAGGUGCCUUGUAAAGGGUGCUGGAGGUAUCGGAAGUGCGAAUGCUGACAUGAGUAGCGAUAAAGGGGGUGAAAGGCCCCCUCGCCGUAAGCCCAAGGUUUCCUACGCAACGUUCAUCGGCGUAGGGUGAGUCGGCCCCUAAGGCGAGGCAGAAAUGCGUAGCUGAUGGGAAGCAGGUCAAUAUUCCUGCACCAUUGUUAGAUGCGAUGGGGGGACGGAUCGCGGAAGGUUGUCCGGGUGUUGGAAGUCCCGGUCGCUGCAUUGGAGAAGGCGCUUAGGCAAAUCCGGGCGCAGAAUUCAAGGGUGUGGCGCGAGCUCCUUCGGGAGCGAAGCAAUUGGAAGUGGUUCCAAGAAAAGCCUCUAAGCUUCAGUCUAACGAUGACCGUACCGCAAACCGACACAGGUGGGCGAGAUGAGUAUUCUAAGGCGCUUGAGAGAACUCGGGAGAAGGAACUCGGCAAAUUGGUACCGUAACUUCGGGAUAAGGUACGCCCUUGUAGCUUGACUGGCCUGCGCCAGGAGGGUGAAGGGGUUGCAAUAAACUGGUGGCUGCGACUGUUUAAUAAAAACACAGCACUCUGCAAACACGAAAGUGGACGUAUAGGGUGUGACGCCUGCCCGGUGCCGGAAGAUUAAAUGAUGGGGUGCAAGCUCUUGAUUGAAGUCCCGGUAAACGGCGGCCGUAACUAUAACGGUCCUAAGGUAGCGAAAUUCCUUGUCGGGUAAGUUCCGACCUGCACGAAUGGCGUAACGAUGGCCACACUGUCUCCUCCCGAGACUCAGCGAAGUUGAAGUGUUUGUGAUGAUGCAAUCUACCCGCGGCUAGACGGAAAGACCCCAUGAACCUUUACUGUAGCUUUGCAUUGGACUUUGAACCGAUCUGUGUAGGAUAGGUGGGAGGCUAUGAAACCGGAACGCUAGUUUCGGUGGAGCCGUCCUUGAAAUACCACCCUGGUUUGUUUGAGGUUCUAACCUUGGCCCGUGAUCCGGGUCGGGGACAGUGCAUGGUAGGCAGUUUGACUGGGGCGGUCUCCUCCCAAAGCGUAACGGAGGAGUACGAAGGUACGCUAGGUACGGUCGGAAAUCGUGCUGAUAGUGCAAUGGCAUAAGCGUGCUUAACUGCGAGACCGACAAGUCGAGCAGGUGCGAAAGCAGGUCAUAGUGAUCCGGUGGUUCUGUAUGGAAGGGCCAUCGCUCAACGGAUAAAAGGUACUCUGGGGAUAACAGGCUGAUACCGCCCAAGAGUUCAUAUCGACGGCGGUGUUUGGCACCUCGAUGUCGGCUCAUCUCAUCCUGGGGCUGUAGCCGGUCCCAAGGGUAUGGCUGUUCGCCAUUUAAAGAGGUACGUGAGCUGGGUUUAAAACGUCGUGAGACAGUUUGGUCCCUAUCUGCCGUGGGCGUUGGAUAUUUGAAGGGGGCUGCUCCUAGUACGAGAGGACCGGAGUGGACGAACCUCUGGUGUACCGGUUGUCACGCCAGUGGCAUCGCCGGGUAGCUAUGUUCGGAAGAGAUAACCGCUGAAAGCAUCUAAGCGGGAAACUCGCCUUAAGAUGAGAUAUCCCUGGGGACUAGAUCCCCUUGAAGGGUCGUUCGAGACCAGGACGUUGAUAGGUCAGGUGUGUAAGCGCAGUAAUGCGUUCAGCUAACUGAUACUAAUUGCCCGUAAGGCUUGAUC